rnacentral:lncRNA from 1 species
ACACCACUGACUUUCCUGUUCUCCAGCUUGCAGAGAGUAAAUCAUGGAACUUCUCAGCCUCCAUGAUCACAUGAGGGCCACACCCAUGGCAUAUGGAAGUUCCCAGGCACGGGGUCAAAUCAGAGUUGCAGCUGCCAGCCUAUGCACAACCACAGCAACAACAGAUCUGAGUCGUGUCUGCAACCUACCCCACAGUGCAUGGCAACGCUGGAUCCUUAACCCACUGAGCAUUUAGCCAUAGCCAUGGUCAAGAUUCAUGGGUCCAGAAUCCUACCAAGGGGUAGAAAUGGGAGUGGCACUACCCCUUUUUACCUCUAGUGAUCUGCUGACAAAAUUUUUAUUUCCUAUCCUUGUGACCUUAUGCUCUGAUGCCCUAGAGGCCUCAGUUCCAAGGGGAGGAAUGAUUCCACUAGGAGGUGCAAUGGCAAUUUCAUUAAAAGGAAAGUAAAGACUGCUGCCCCACCACUCUGGUCUUAUUGUGGCUCCGAAGCAAUAGGCAAAGAAGGGAGUUACUGUGCUGGCUGAGGUGACUGAUCCUGACUACCAGGGGGACAUUGGACCAUUUCUCCACAGUGGAGGUAAGGAAGAGUAUGGUUUUUUUAAAAAUUAUUUUUUUUCCAUUAUAGCUGGUUUAUAGUGUUUUGUCAAUUUUCUACAGUACAGCAAAGAGACCCAGUCAUACAUACAUACAUACAUUCUUUUUCUCACAUUAUCCUCCAUCAUGCUCCAUCAUAGGUGACUAGAUAUAGUUCCCAGUGCUAUACAGCAGGAUCUCAUUGCCUAUCUAUUCCAAAGGCAAUAGUUUGCAUCUAUUAACCCCAGAUACCCAGUCCAUCCCACUCCCUCCCUUUAGGCAACCACAAGUCCAUUCUCCAAGUCNUCUCCCUCCCCUUAGGCAACCAUAAGUCUAUUCUCCAAGUCCAUGAGUUUCUUUUCUGUGGAAAGGUUCAUUUGUGCUGUAUAUUAGAUUCUGGAUGUGUGAUAUCAUAUGGUAUUGGUCUUUCUUUUAAGGAAGAAUAAGUUUUGAAUACAGGAAAUUCCUUAGUAUUAUAUUACCAUGCCUUGUGAUUAAAGACAAUGGAAAAUUAUAAGAAUCCAAUUCAGGCAGAACUACUAAUAUCCCAGACCAUUCAAAAAUGAAGGUUUCAGCCAUCCCAUCAAGCAAUAUUGAUGUAUUUGUGAGUUCAUUUAUUCUAUAUAUCUUUGUGCCUUCAUAAAGAGAAAAUUCACCUAUAUUUUUCUAAAAUAUAUAUAGGAAUUCUCUGUAUAUCCUUUACAUGAGUAAUGCAUGGUUUCCUUUCAAAGGUUCCUUUUGAGGAAUAAAAUUGUUAAUUUCAAGUAAUUACA